AAAAUAACUUUCAAAAGGAAUUCUGGAGCAGCAGAACUCACAAAAGGAUGGGGUGAAAUAAAUUUCUAACCCAAGACAACCUAAAAGAUCUCUAAUAACAAUACCCUCCACCAUCAAAAUCAAAGCUAACAAAAUUUCCUCAAGAACCAGG